GACGGCGCUGGACGGCAUGCGUUCGCUGCUCUGGCUGGAGUCCGAAGCGGGCGGUGCGGAACUGCCCGCCGCCGC
rnacentral:tRNA from 1 species